CACCCCAGUCGCUGACCUGACCGUGGUCGGCUGCCCCCCAUCGCUGGGUUAGCGCACCGGNUUNGGGUAAAGCCAACUCCCAUGGUGUGACGGGCGGNGUGUACAAGGCCCGGGAACGUAUUCACCGCNGCGUGCUGAUCCGCGAUUACUAGCGAUUCCAACUUCAUGCACCCGAGUUGCAGAGUGCAAUCCGAACUGAGACGGCUUUUGGGGAUUGGCUCGACCUCGCGGUAUUGCUUNCCACUGUCACCGACAUUGUAGCACGUGUGUAUNCCCAGCCCAUGAGGGCCAUGAGGACUUGACGUCAUCCCCGNCUUCCUCCGGNUUGUUACCGGCGGUUUCCCCAGANUGNCCACCGUUGUGUGCUGGUAACUGAGGAU
rnacentral:rRNA from 1 species